UGGUUUUUACGGAGCAUCUCAUCAGGCGUCAUCCGAUGACCAAACAGCCACUCCAUGAUUCUUCUUCGGUUUUCG